ensembl:snRNA U6 U6 spliceosomal RNA
GUGCUCGCUUAGGCAGCACAGAUACUGAAAUUGGACCGAUACAGAGAAAGAUUAGCACAAGGAUGACAUGCAAGUUCGUGAAGCGGUCCAUGUAAAA